rnacentral:rRNA from 1 species
GACAGAGGGUGCAAGCGUUGUUCGGAAUCAUUGGGCGUAAAGCGCGCGUAGGCGGUCCGGUAAGUCGGGUGUGAAAAUCCGGGGCUCAACCCCGGACCUGCAUUCGAUACUGCCGGGCUGGAGGCAGGUAGGGGAGAGUGGAAUUCCUGGUGUAGCGGUGAAAUGCGCAGAUAUCAGGAGGAACACCGGUGGCGAAGGCAGCACUCUGGGACGUGACUGACGCUGAGACGCGAAAGCGUGGGGAGCAAACAGG